UACACCAGACACACAUGGUGUAUUCAUACACCUCAUGCUCACUGUCAAACAGUUAGAACCCAAACAAUAUACCAAUAAACAACAAACACGUUACAGACACCCCGGGUAAAACAUGGUGGGCCCCACCCCCGGAUGGCGACGCCCAUUCCUUAUUUGGUCACAACCCCAACUUACAAACGAGCUACUCGACAAGUUUGCAAGAAGAGGAACACCAAGUGAAUAUUCCUGGUUUUCCCCACAGAGAUGCAUGGAGUGUGGGAACACUGCCUUUUAAUAUAUUACCAAUAUCGUACAACACACAAAGUUACGGACGUAGUUUGUUAAAAUGUUAUAUUUCCUGCACCCCAGAUGAAAUUUCUCUCGUUAAAAAUUUGCUGAGUCAUCCUACUAUACUAGAUCUGCAAAGUCAUUGUUUAAAAGAGGGUUAUUGUUUAUCAUUGCUUCAUUUUACAGAUCUUGAUGAAUACAGGAUGAUGUCAUCGAAUGAUCAUGAGGUUAACCAAAGAUCCGACGUCGUCAGAUUUGCCGUUUCAUCUUCCUCACUCUUCGUUGCUUUCCUUGGGUCGACAUUAGGACGGUUCACAGAAACAGAGUACGACGAAGGAUAUUUUAAUCCAUCGAACACAAAAUCUACGUUUUUCUGCA